rnacentral:rRNA from 1 species
CCCGCGUGCAGGAUGACGGCCCUAUGGGUUGUAAACUGCUUUUAUCACCAAGAAAAAGCAAGACGUGUCGGGAUCUGACGGUAGUGUAUGAAUAAGCAUCGGCUAACUCCGUGCCAGCAGCCGCGGUAAUA